CAGCUAUUUAACGGUUAUUCUAGUCUGCCCACAAGGUGGGCAAAAGGAAGAAGAGCCUAACAAAGGAGAGCUAAGCCGAAGAACAGACCUAUCCUCAGGUUUGGAACGAUGGAAAACGUUCCAUGAUAGAGUGAGCGUCUUCGCAGGUGGCAUCAGCAGCGGGAAAACGCUUCCAUUGGAUGAGCCAUUUGGAGCGUGUUGCAUUCCGAUGCUUGAAAAUUUUCUCAGGUUCCCAUUGUGGUGCAUCGAUGGGUGAAAUCGGGGGUAGAGUAGGGAGUGGUGUUGUUGUAGCCCAAGGAGACAUGGAAGACAGGAUGUACUUUGCUGUUCGGCGGUAGCUCCAAGCGGUAAGAGAUCAGAAGAAUCAGCGAAGGAAGAUUGAAGAAGUAGGAAAUGUCAUGAGAUCUUUGGAUUUGAAAAGCGAGAUGGACAUCCCUGCUGCUGUGAAUGAAAUUAAGUCCGUGAAGGUAAGUUCCUGUGUAUUUUUAAUCAGGUGGCAAGGUCAUCAAGUUUGAUUCCUUGUAACCUAAUAUGCUUCUUAUAUGUAGACCAGAUUAAACCACAUAGAUACACACAUGCAUGCUCCCUGUCUAGUGUUCUGUAUCUCUGUUUAUCUGUUUUCACUGCAAUAACCUAUUAGAUGACCGUGGUUCAUGAAGCAUGCAACGUUUGGAGCUCUGGUUUAAUGGUCUUUGGCGGAUUUGUUACAACAUCAUGUAGCUGGGGUGAAUAAUAAUUUAGGCAGAGGAAUUUUAUAGGUAACAUAGAUAGCCCAAUCAACGAGAGUCAACCAAAUAUGUGAUGGCAAUCAACACAAUGAAACAAGAUACAUUGUCUAGGGAAAAGUUGACUUUGAAGGAGUGAAGAGCUGUAUAAUAAUAUAUCCAUGU
rnacentral:lncRNA from 1 species